AUUGAACGCUGGCGGCAUGCUUUACACAUGCAAGUCGAACGGUAACAGGCCGCAAGGUGCUGACGAGUGGCGAACGGGUGAGUAAUGCAUCGGAACGUGCCCAGUCGUGGGGGAUAACUACUCGAAAGAGUAGCUAAUACCGCAUACGAUCUAUGGAUGAAAGCGGGGGACCGUAAGGCCUCGCGCGAUUGGAGCGGCCGAUGUCAGAUUAGGUAGUUGGUGGGGUAAAGGCUCACCAAGCCAACGAUCUGUAGCUGGUCUGAGAGGACGACCAGCCACACUGGGACUGAGACACGGCCCAGACUCCUACGGGAGGCAGCAGUGGGGAAUUUUGGACAAUGGGCGCAAGCCUGAUCCAGCAAUGCCGCGUGCAGGAAGAAGGCCUUCGGGUUGUAAACUGCUUUUGUACGGAACGAAACGGCUCUGGUUAAGACCCGGGGCUAAUGACGGUACCGUAAGAAUAAGCACCGGCUAACUACGU
rnacentral:rRNA from 1 species